rnacentral:rRNA from 1 species
AUGCCGUACGCAGCUGCACGGCCGUCGCCUCAGCAGCACAGCCGGAUCAGCUCCGGCUGUAAGGCGUUGGUGGCCCACGGCGCAGCGGUGCCGGGCGAGGUGGCGCGGUACCACGAGCACGCGGCCGGCGCGGGGCAGUGCUGCUCGGCCGUGGUGCAGGCGAUCGCGGCGCCCGUGGAGGCGGUGUGGUCGGUCGUCCGGCGCUUCGACCGGCCGCAGGCGUACAAGCGCUUCAUCAAGAGCUGCCGCAUGGUGGACGGCGACGGCGGCGCGGUGGGGUCGGUGCGGGAGGUGCGCGUGGUCUCCGGCCUGCCCGGCACCAGCAGCCGCGAGCGGCUCGAGAUCCUGGACGACGAGCGGCGCGUGCUCAGCUUCCGGAUCGUCGGCGGCGAGCACCGCCUCGCCAACUACCGGUCCGUGACCACCGUGAGCGAGGUGGCGUCGACGGUGGCCGGGGCGCCGCGGGUGACCCUGGUGGUCGAGUCGUACGUGGUGGACGUGCCGCCGGGGAACACCAGCGACGAGACGCGCCUGUUCGUGGACACCAUCGUGCGGUGCAACCUCCAGUCGCUGGCGCGCACGGCGGAGCAACUCGCGCUGGCCGUGCCGCACGUCAAUUGA